UACGGGAGCAGCAGUGGGGAAUAUUGCACAAUGGGCGCAAGCCUGAUGCAGCCAUGCCGCGUGUAUGAAAAAGGCCUUCGGGUUGUAAAGUACUUUCAGUCGUGAGGAAGGUGUUAAGGUUAAUAACCUUAGCAAUUGACGUUAGCGACAGAAGAAGCACCGGCUAACUCCGUGCCAGCAGCCGCGGUAAUACGGAGGGUGCGAGCGUUAAUCGGAAUUACUGGGCGUAAAGGGCACGCAGGCGGUUAAUUAAGUUGGAUGUGAAAUCCCCGGGCUUAACCUGGGAAUGGCAUUCAAGACUGGUUAGCUAGAGUCUUGUAGAGGGGGUUAGAAUUCCAUGUGUAGCGGUGAAAUGCGUAGAGAUGUGGAGGAAUACCGGUGGCGAAGGCGGCCCCUGGACAAAGACUGACGCUCAUGUGCGAAAGCUGGGGAGCAAACAGGGAUUAGAUACC
rnacentral:rRNA from 1 species